rnacentral:rRNA from 1 species
ACGAACGCUGGCGGCGUGCCUAAUACAUGCAAGUAGAACGCUGAAGGAGGAGCUUGCUCUUCUGGAUGAGUUGCGAACGGGUGAGUAACGCGUAGGUAACCUGCCUGGUAGCGGGGGAUAACUAUUGGAAACGAUAGCUAAUACCGCAUAACAGUAGAUGUUGCAUGACAUUUACUUAAAAGGUGCAAUUGCAUCACUACCAGAUGGACCUGCGUUGUAUUAGCUAGUUGGUGGGGUAACGGCUCACCAAGGCGACGAUACAUAGCCGACCUGAGAGGGUGAUCGGCCACACUGGGACUGAGACACGGCCCAGACUCCUACGGGAGGCAGCAGUAGGGAAUCUUCGGCAAUGGACGGAAGUCUGACCGAGCAACGCCGCGGGAGUGAAGAAGGUUUUCGGAUCGUAAAGCUCUGUUGUAAGAGAAGAACGAGUGUGAGAGUGGAAAGUUCACACUGUGACGGUAUCUUACCAGAAAGGGACGGCUAACUACGUG